CCUUCACUCUACAUGUGAGCUAGUUGACAAAGAUUCUCCUUUAGAUUCAGGACUGCUGGAAACCAAUAUAGAGAUUAAUUUUUACUGGCUUAUAUUUGAUUUAUGGGCAGGUCCAGGGAGCAGGAAAAGAACAUAAUCCAGUAAGAGAAAUGAAGAAAAAUACUCCAAAAAACUGAGCAGGGUUUGUCUCAUGCUUGCCAACAAGUCUCCAUAUAACAAGCAGAGGAAUUUCAGGUACCAAUUCUCUUUCAGUGUCUUUACAUCUAUGGCUCCAAACAUAUUCAGGAAUUUUUAUACAAACCAAGUUCUGGACCUAACAAAGCAGGACACUGGGGCCUGAUAAUGGAGUACUGCUGUUCAUCACCUGGUGGGAGUGCCCAGAUUCUUCAGUUUGAGGUGGUCCAGGCUCCUCACUUCCACAGAUGCUGCUCUGAACUCAGAAGUCCUCUGGAAUCUUCAGCUGGAGGACAGCACAGGGCACAACACGGGCCUGUGUCCAUGGAAGCGUCCCUGGCUCAUCAGCUCUGAUUGCUACAUGGGAUACACCCGUCCCCACGCAGUCCUGGCACCAUCCACCAGGCCAGAGUGGCUGCAAGCAUCAGUGACCCUGCUCUGAAGAGAAGUGAUGGAGCAGCGAACCUGGGUUGCUCGUCAUUUUUUAGCGUCUUCUUUGUAGUUUCUCUGUGUUGUAAGCAAUGUUCUUUCUCAAGAAUCUGCUGCUUCAAAGCAGUGGUGUCUUGAGCAAAAAGGGGGAUUAAUCCUGUAACUACGGAAUUUCCAAUCUCUUUGCUGUUGCUGGUCACUCUGUUGGAAAUAGUACAAAAUCUGAAGGAAGAGGUUAAAACCCAUCUACCUUGCAGCUUCUUUGUCAAGUCUAUGAGGUUUACAUAUCUUUAAGAGUAUCACUGGCACGGAGACUUUGGUUAGAAAAAUUUCUGUAUCCAAUCUGUGCUCAGGAUCCUGUUACACUGAUGUACCCCAGAAAUAAAAUGUAGUCCUGCAAUCCCUUGUAUCAAGAGGGUCUGUGAACCAGUGAAUGCCUUUGGGCUCUGCUUGAUGUCCAAAAUGAUCCAAUGUUUGGCCACUUGCAGGGUUCAGGGAGUUCAGAAGGGCUCUAGACCAGGAAAUGUUCCCUUGGAUGAGUAUCUUUUAUUUGUUUUUUUACUCUUGUGUGUUGUCCUGGUGAGGUUCACACAGUUAUUUACCUGCAUGUUAAAGCACUCCAAAGAGCUUUCAAUAAAGAGUUUCCUAUUUCUGGAAACAGUAAAGGAGCUGGAGACGAAACAUGAGGACUUUGUCUG